AUUCCACGGAUUCCGUGACGCAGCUAACGCAUUAAGUUCCCCGCCUGGGGAGUACGGCCGCAAGGCUAAAACUCAAAGGAAUUGACGGGGACCCGCACAAGCGGCGGAGCAUGCGGAUUAAUUCGAUGCAACGCGAAGAACCUUACCAAGGCUUGACAUAUACGAGAACGGGCCAGAAAUGGUCAACUCUUUGGACACUCGUAAACAGGUGGUGCAUGGUUGUCGUCAGCUCGUGUCGUGAGAUGUUGGGUUAAGUCCCGCAACGAGCGCAACCCUCGUUCUAUGUUGCCAGCACGUAAUGGUGGGAACUCAUGGGAUACUGCCGGGGUCAACUCGGAGGAAGGUGGGGAUGACGUCAAAUCAUCAUGCCCCUUAUGUCUUGGGCUUCACGCAUGCUACAAUGGCCGGUACAAAGGGCUGCAAUACCGCGAGGUGGAGCGAAUCCCAAAAAGCCGGUCCCAGUUCGGAUUGAGGUCUGCAACUCGACCUCAUGAAGUCGGAGUCGCUAGUAAUCGCAGAUCAGCAACGCUGCGGUGAAUACGUUCCCGGGUCUUGUACACACCGCCCGUCAAGUCAUGAAAGUCGGUAACACCUGAAGCCGGUGGCCUCAACC
rnacentral:rRNA from 1 species